CCUAGGGUUUCUUAAACCUACCUUCAUUCUAUUUCUUCCAUCUUCUCUUUCGAAUACAUCUCGGAUCAUCUGUUCAUUGCUAAGUCAUCGAUUUCUACUGUUCUUAGUUACUCUUUCCUCAAAAUCGGUUCCGAUCAGCUUUGAAAAGAAAGUUGAGAUGAGAUCAGGCUAUGACCUGUAGCAUUUUUAGUUGAAGAAGAGGCCUAUGAGGAUAUCAAAUAACACCAAUACCAUCUUUCGGGACUGAUUUGAUCAAUGAUGUUAUUCUGCAAUUCUGAGGCCAUCGUAUAUGCUAAUGUGAGGAUUUGUCAAGGUAAAAAUUUACCAAUUUGCACAUUGAGUUUUUGUCUUAUGAACACCUCUAUCGUAUUACCUGUUCAGAUGGCAAAUUGGUGUGGUUUGUUCAUUUUUGUAGAGUGAAUGCACUUUGUUUUAUACAUAGCAAGAUGGCAUUACUAAAGGCUACUUGAAGGGAAUUUGUUUCGUGAGACACUUCAGUUUCAACAUCUAUUUUCUUUUCAUAUUUACAUUCUAGUUUCAACAUCUAAAUGCACAGUUGACUGCUCCUCUCGCUACACUUGCAUCUUCAUGGGUUUGCUCAACAAGAGUACCAAACUAAGCAUUAUUCUUUUAUUGAUUAUGGAGAUGGACUUUUACGGGAUGUAAUUUCUAUAAGAAUUUAUGAAAGUUUUUGCAAGAUGCCAUAUUUUUGUUAGGUGAGUUUGAGCUAGGGGUGUAACCGAGUCUAGAAAACUUGCGAGCCGGCUCAAACUCGACUCAGUAACAGGCUCGACGAGUCGAGCUUAUCGAGCUCGAACUCAAUUUUGAGAUUGACGGCUUAUCGAGCUCGAACAAAGCUCUGCUCGACUUGUCAGCUCGUCGAGCAGCUUGCGUAGGUGACUGGGUGGGAAAACGAAAUCUCAACCGAGCAGGCUGAAGGACGAUUUAAAGGUCAGGCGGGAAAAUCAAAACGACGGAGCAUGUGGAUCUCGGCGGCGAAGCUCGGGACGACGAAUCUCAACUGCGAACGCAAUGAUGAGCUCAUAACGAUGGAUCUCGACGGCGGAGCUUGGGGCGACAACAGACCUCAAGAUGAUAGAGGGCUCGAUGAAGAGCUCGGGACGACGGAUCUCGACGAUGGAGCUCGGGAUGACGAUGGAGCACAGGAUGACAGUGGAUGCGAUGAGGAGCCUUCUCGGGACGGAACUCGAGACUGAGCUCGACAAACCGCUCGACAGGAGACGAGUCGAGCUCGACUCGAGUUUGAGCUCAAGCUCAAGCUCUAUAUUUGGCAGUCAAACUCGACUCGAACACCCCUGGCUCGAGCUCGACUAUACUUAUUUGCACCCCUAGUUUGAGCACUGUAUAGCUCAACAAAAUGAGAGGAGCUUUGUGGAGCUUUUUACUAACAAGACUGAAUAAUACAGCAUGCAACAAUUUGCAAAAGAGAUUUUCAUUGCUGUAUCUUUUCUUCCAUUUAUCUUCGAUUUUUUAUCAACAGGCCUAUGAGGAUAUCAAAUAACACCAAUACCAUCUUUCGGGACUGAUUUGAUCAAAUGAUGUUAUUCUGCAAUUCUGAGGCCAUUGUUAUAUGCUGAUAUUCUGGAAUAAUUUGUAAUUGUGUGUAUUAUAUGAUAAUGUGAGGAUUUGUCAAGCCAAGAAUGAGACAUAACAGGCCUAUGAGGACAUCAAAUAACACCAAUACCAUCUUUCGGGACUGAUUGCUAAUGAUGUUAUUCUGCAAUUCUGAGGCCAUUUUAUAAGCAAGAUGCUUCUUCAUUUAUUUGUUAUUAUUUGUAUUAUGCUGACAAAAAAUGUUUUUGAUUAAUGAUGCUUCUUCAUUUUAUUAGCAGAUGCUUCUAACAUGAAAAUUUUAUCCCAACAAGUCUUAAA